UACCAGACUCCUACGGGAGGCAGCAGUGGGGGAUAUUGCACAAUGGGGGGAACCCUGAUGCAGCGACGCCGCGUGGGUGAAGGAGUGCUUCGGCAUGUAAAGCCCUAUCGGCAGGGAAGAAGCAAGACGGUACCUGACUAAGAAGCCCCGGCUAACCACGUGCCAGCAGCCGCGGUAAUACGUAGGGGGCAAGCGUUAUCCGGAUUUACUGGGUGUAAAGGGGGCGCAGACGGCGAUGCAAGCCAGGAGUGAAAGCCCGGGGCCCAACCCCGGGACUGCUCUUGGAACUGCGUGGCUGGAGUGCAGGAGGGGCAGGCGGAAUUCCUGGUGUAGCGGUGAAAUGCGUAGAUAUCAGGAGGAACACCGGUGGCGAAGGCGGCCUGCUGGACUGCAACUGACGUUGAGGCCCGAAAGCGUGGGGAGCAAACAGGAUUAGAUACCCGGGUAA
rnacentral:rRNA from 1 species